rnacentral:rRNA from 1 species
AAAGGAAUUGACGGGGACCCGCACAAGCGGUGGAGCAUGUGGUUUAAUUCGAAGCAACGCGAAGAACCUUACCAGGUCUUGACAUCCCGAUGACCGGCCCGUAACGGGGCCUUCUCUUCGGAGCAUUGGAGACAGGUGGUGCAUGGUUGUCGUCAGCUCGUGUCGUGAGAUGUUGGGUUAAGUCCCGCAACGAGCGCAACCCUUAUCCUCAGUAGCCAGCAGGUCAAGCUGGGCACUCUGUGGAGACUGCCAGGGAUAACCUGGAGGAAGGUGGGGAUGACGUCAAAUCAUCAUGCCCCUUAUGAUCUGGGCUACACACGUGCUACAAUGGCGUAAACAAAGGGAGGCAAAGCCGCGAGGUGGAGCAAAUCCCAAAAAUAACGUCUCAGUUCGGACUGCAGUCUGCAACUCGACUGCACGAAGCUGGAAUCGCUAGUAAUCGCGAAUCAGAAUGUCGCGGUGAAUACGUUCCCGGGUCUUGUACACACCGCCCGU